GAUGAACGCUGGCGGCGUGCCUAAUACAUGCAAGUCGAGCGAACAGACGAGGAGCUUGCUCCUCUGACGUUAGCGGCGGACGGGUGAGUAACACGUGGAUAACCUACCUAUAAGACUGGGAUAACUUCGGGAAACCGGAGCUAAUACCGGAUAAUAUAUUAAACCGCAUGGUUCAAUAGUGAAAGACGGUUUUGCUGUCACUUAUAGAUGGAUCCGCGCCGCAUUAGCUAGUUGGUAAGGUAACGGCUUACCAAGGCAACGAUGCGUAGCCGACCUGAGAGGGUGAUCGGCCACACUGGAACUGAGACACGGUCCAGACUCCUACGGGAGGCAGCAGUAGGGAAUCUUCCGCAAUGGGCGAAAGCCUGACGCAGCAAAGCCGCGUGAGUGAUGAAGGUCUUCGGAUCGUAAAACUCUGUUAUUAGGGAAGAACAAAUGUGUAAGUAACUAUGCACGUCUUGCCGGUACCUAAUCAGAAAGCCACGGCUAACUACGUG
rnacentral:rRNA from 1 species